ensembl:miRNA
GAGGUGGGAGGAUGACUUGAGCCCAGGAGGUUGAGUGUGCAGUGAGCUGUGAUUGUACCACUGCACUCCAGCCUGAGUGACAGAGCAAGACCCUGUCUC